UACAGAGGGUGCGAGCGUUGUCCGGAAUCACUGGGCGUAAAGAGCGCGCAGGCGGUCGUUCAAGUCGAGUGUGAAAGCCCCCGGCUCAACUGGGGAGGGUCACUCGAUACUGAUCGACUCGAAGGCAGAAGAGGGAAGCGGAAUUCCCGGUGUAGUGGUGAAAUGCGUAGAUAUCGGGAGGAACACCAGUGGCGAAGGCGGCUUUCUGGUCUGCUCUUGACGCUGAGGCGCGAAAGCUAGGGUAGCAAACGGG
rnacentral:rRNA from 1 species